rnacentral:rRNA from 1 species
GAACGCGAAGAACCUUACCAGGACUUGACAUCUCUUUGAAACCUUAUGGAAACACUAGGCCUCUUCUUCGGAAGACAAAGAUGACAGGUGGUGCAUGGUUGUCGUCAGCUCGUGUCGUGAGAUGUUCGGUUAAGUCCGAUAACGGGCGCAACCCUUAUCCUUAAUUGCUAACAUUAAGUUGAGAACCUUAAGGAAACUAUCGGUGACAAGCCGGAGGAAGGUGGGGAUGACGUCAAAUCAUCAUGCCCCUUACGUCCUGGGCUACAGACGUGCUACAAUGGCAGAUAUAAAGAGUCGCCAACUCGCGAGAGUGAGCUAAUCUCAAAAAGUCUGUCUCAAUUCGGAUUGGAGUCUGCAACUCGACUCCAUGAAGUUGGAAUCGCUAGUAAUCGUAAAUCAGAAUGUUACGGUGAAUACGUUUCCCGGGUCUUGUACACACC